AUUUCUCGCUUUCGUGCCCUACGCGAGUCUCUCCUUUUCAGGCGUCUCUCACAGGUUCACCACCGUCGAGCGAUCCGGUGCCUCCCAACUGGUCAUUCUCUUCGGCGCUGAUAGUUGUUGCUCCUUCACCGGCUGAAGCUUCUGGUUCGAGAUCUAGGUGACGGCUUCUCGGGGCUCGAGCGCAACAGCUCGCUCAAGCCAGCGCUUGCCCACAUCUGCGAGAAGCUUGCUCGAGCGAGCCCUCGUGCUCGAGCCCCGAGCCCUCGUGCUCGAGCCCCGAGCGAGCGUUGCUCGGACAGAUCUGCGGCAGAUCUGGGUGAUGGCUACUCACUCGAUCUACUCUGCUCGCUCGGCAGAGCAGCGACGCUCGCUCGAGCUGCUCUGCGACUUUCAAAAUAUAUAUGAGGACAUGGAUUAUUCUUCCAUUGCUACACACCAAACUUUUUCAAUUUCGUGUUCAAUUUUUGUUAUCUUUCUUUCUUUGUGUGGGAAAGGUGGAUUUUCUGCUGUUCGUUGCUCAUAUUUUCUACCACGUUGGCCUGUUCGCGAGUGUCAAGAAUUUCUAACCCCCUGAUUACCUAGCAAAAGAAAAAAAAGGCUGUUCUUCUAAUUUCUUCUGUAGCCUUAAAGAUGGACAAGGAAAGGUCAUCGUUCUCUUAUGCGAUACUUGUGAAAUUGAAACAGGUAAAAUUUUGGAGAGCUGUGAGGAUUGAUGUUUAGUAUUAAAUGACAUAGCUUGUGGAUACUGUCUUAGUGUGAGUUACGGACUCAGCUCUUUCCUCCACUCGCAGUGCAUGCUUCUCAUUUCUUUUUUGCAUUGAAUAUUUUUUCCUUGUCAUGGAAGAAAUUUUCUUUGUUAUGAUUAUGUGACAUUUUGUCUGGGGAAACUAUUUUCUAGUGUGGCUAGACAGGACCAUGAGGGGCGUCGUCUUUUUCCACAUAGCCUGACCUUUUCGUCCUGAUUUAGUAGGGAGGCUUCUGUUGAUUGAUCUUGGAACCUGUCAAGAGUGACAGUGUUUUCACUCUACCCAGUAGAUGAAUGGCUCACCGGGUGAGUCUAGGUAGAUUGAGGUGUUACUUUGAGUGAGGCUCUUCUUAGUCAUGACAAAUGGCUUGAAAAGAAGGGCAUAAAGAACACAAAUUUCGCUGUUGUUACCUGGUCCAACUGGGGUUGCCGGGUGAUGUUGGAAUCCGAGUGUCAAUAUAAGAAAAUUCGAAAGCCUUCUUACUUCAACAGAUGGAUUAACCUAAAAGUCCCAUUCCAUGAAGUUUUCGGAGGUCUAAGAUGUAAUCUUAAGGAGGCGGUUGAGAUGGCUGGCUUGACCUAGCUCAGGCGUGCUCACUGUGGUUUAGAUGAUGCAAAAAACACAGCUCGCUUGCUUAUGGUUCUUUUGUGCAUGGAAAUCAGAUUUUCCAUCACCAACUCUCUAACAUUGUAUGACAAUGACCAUACUCUGAUAUCAAAGCACUCGCCUCCCCAUCAGCUGCACACACAGAAGGAUUUGCGGGGUCCUCAAUCACAGUAUAAUCCUUAUUGUUUCUGUGGCAUCAAGAGCAGCGUAAGCUUUGUUCGAAACCCAAGUACAAAGCAAGGGAACUUCUUCUUUUGGUGUGGCAAUUGGGCUGCUGCGAGACGUUGCGGAUGCUGUUAUUUUCAGUGGGUGGCUUCUUGACUGGAUGUAACUUUCCUGGUUGACAUCUUCGGCUUUCUUAGGUGCUCCCUAUCACAUUAGGUAGGAACCGCAUCGAGAGCUUCCAUUUAAAUUAGUUGAAUGACUUUAUGAUAGUUUUUUUUUUAACUUGAUUGAAAGAAAAACAAAUUGAGUUGGCACACUGCAUUUGAAAGAUUGCGAUACUGAUACAUAAGAAAACUGUCAUCUAUUGUUGAAGAACUCUUCUCUGUAAAGCUGACAUCUUGUUGACUUGUGAAAUUCAUUAAGGAGUUGGUACAGCUGAUA